AGGCCUAACACAUGCAAGUCGAACGGUCAGUAGCAAUACUGAUAGUGGCGCACGGGUGCGUAACACGUAACUAACCUACCUAUAACUGGGGGAUAGCCCGCCGAAAGGCGGAUUAAUACCGCAUAAGCUAGUGAGUUGGCAUCAACUUAUUAGUAAAGAUUUAUUGGUUAUAGAUGGGGUUGCGGGUCAUUAGCUAGUUGGUCAGGUAACGGCUUACCAAGGCGACGAUGACUAGGGGAGCUGUGAGGCUGGUCCCCCACACGGGCACUGAGAUACGGGCCCGACUCCUACGGGAGGCAGCAGUAGGGAAUAUUGGGCAAUGGGCGAGAGCCUGACCCAGCCAUGCCGCGUGCAGGAAGAAGGCUUUCUGAGUCGUAAACUGCUUUUGACAGGGAAGAAUAAGCUCUACGUGUAGAGUGAUGACGGUACCUGCAGAAUAAGCACCGGCUAACUCCGUGCCAGCAGCCGCGGUAAU
rnacentral:rRNA from 1 species